rnacentral:rRNA from 1 species
GUUUGAUCCUGGCUCAGGAUGAACGCUAGCGGCAGGCCUAAUACAUGCAAGUCGAGCGGCAAGUUGAGUAGUAAUACUUAACCUAGAGCGGCGCACGGGUGCGUAACGCGUAUGCAACCUACCUUUUACUGGGGGAUAGCCCGGAGAAAUCUGGAUUAAUACCCCAUGGUAUCUAGAGGUCGAAUGACUUUUAGUUUAAAGAUUUAUCGGUAAGAGAUGGGCAUGCGUCUGAUUAGCUAGUUGGGGGGGUAACGGCCCACCAAGGCGACGAUCAGUAGGGGUUCUGAGAGGAAGGUCCCCCACACUGGCACUGAGAUACGGGCCAGACUCCUACGGGAGGCAGCAGUAGGGAAUAUUGGGCAAUGGUCGCAAGACUGACCCAGCCAUGCCGCGUGCAGGAAGACGGCCCUCUGGGUUGUAAACUGCUUUUAUCUGGGAAGAAAAAGUCCAUGCGUGGAAAAUUGCCGGUACCAGAUGAAUAAGCACCGGCUAACUCCGUGCCAGCAGCCGCGGUAAUACGGAGGGUGCAAGCGUUGUCCGGAUUUAUUGGGUUUAAAGGGUGCGUAGGCGGCUGAAUAAGUCAGCGGUGAAAGACUUCGGCUUAACCGGAGCAGUGCCGUUGAUACUGUUUAGCUUGAGUGUUGGAGGGGUACAUGGAAUUGAUGGUGUAGCGGUGAAAUGCAUAGAUACCAUCAGGAACACCGAUAGCGAAGGCAUUGUACUGGCCAACAACUGACGCUGAGGCACGAAAGUGUGGGGAUCGAACAGGAUUAGAUACCCUGGUAGUCCACACCGUAAACGAUGAUUACUCGCUGUUAUGGUGUAUGCUGUAGCGGCCAAGCGAAAGCGUUAAGUAAUCCACCUGGGGAGUACGCCGGCAACGGUGAAACUCAAGGGAUUGACGG